rnacentral:rRNA from 1 species
UACGUAGGUGGCAAGCGUUGUCCGGAAUUAUUGGGCGUAAAGCGCGCGCAGGCGGUCUUUUUAAGUCUGAUGUGAAAGCCCACGGCUCAACCGUGGAGGGUCAUUGGAAACUGGGGGGACUUAGUGCAGAAGAGGGAAAGCGGAAUUCCACGUGUAGCGGUGAAAUGCGUAGAGAUGUGGAGGAACACCAGUGGCGAAGGCGGCUUUCUGGUCUGUAACUGACGUGAGGCGCGAAAGCUAGGGGAGCAAACGGG